rnacentral:tRNA from 1 species
GGGACAGAGCUCAGUGGUAGACAGCUUGCCUAGCAUGCAUGAGGCCCUGAGUUCAACUCCCAGAGUCACA